CGGCGUGCCUAACACAUGCAAGUCGAACGGAGUUAUGAUGUGAGCGGGAAGUGCUUGCACUAAACAAUCUUUUCAUAACUUAGUGGCGGACGGGUGAGUAACGCGUGGGUAACCUGCCCUGUACUGGGGGACAACAGUUGGAAACGACUGCUAAUACCGCAUAAGCGCACGGGAUCGCAUGAUCUAGUGUGAAAAACUCCGGUGGUACAGGAUGGACCCGCGUCUGAUUAGCUGGUUGGUGAGGUAACGGCCCACCAAGGCAACGAUCAGUAGCCGGCCUGAGAGGGUGAACGGCCACAUUGGGACUGAGACACGGCCCAAACUCCUACGGGAGGCAGCAGUGGGGAAUAUUGCACAAUGGGGGAAACCCUGAUGCAGCGACGCCGCGUGAGUGAAGAAGUAUUUCGGUAUGUAAAGCUCUAUCAGCAGGGAAGAAAAUGACGGUACCUGACUAAGAAGCCCCGGCUAACUACGUGCCAGCAGCCGCGGUAAUACGUAGGGGGCAAGCGUUAUCCGGAUUUACUGGGUGUAAAGGGAGCGUAGACGGCAUGGCAAGUCUGAAGUGAAAUGCGGGGGCUCAACCCCUGAACUGCUUUGGAAACUGUCAGGCUGGAGUGCAGGAGAGGUAAGUGGAAUUCCUAGUGUAGCGGUGAAAUGCGUAGAUAUUAGGAGGAACACCAGUGGCGAAGGCGGCUUACUGGACUGUAACUGACGUUGAGGCUCGAAAGCGUGGGGAGCAAACAGGAUUAGAUACCCUGGUAGUCCACGCCGUAAACGAUGAUUACUAGGUGUUGGGGAUUUAUAAAUCCCCGGUGCCGUCGCAAACGCAAUAAGUAAUCCACCUGGGGAGUACGUUCGCAAGAAUGAAACUCAAAGGAAUUGACGG
rnacentral:rRNA from 1 species